CCCGACGCACUUCCUUCCGUCCGAGGACGCCGCAGCCGGUCGGAGCAAGUUGCCGUUCCACAGUGGUGCGCGGUCCCGCGCCUUCGCUGUGAGUCCCGCGGGGGCAGACGGCUAGCGGCGAGUAGGUCGGUCACCCACCCGACCCGUCUUGAAACACGGACCAAGGAGUCUAACAUGUGCGCAAGUCGAAGGGACUUGAACAGGCCCCGAGGCGAAAUGAGAGUGAAGUUGGGAUCCCGGGGGCGCACCAACGGCCCGGGCGGCGUCGGAGCGCACACGUUGGGACCCGAAAGAUGGUGAACUAUGCCUGGGCAGGACGAGGCCAGAGGAAACUCUGGUGGAGGUCCGGAGCGGUUCUGACGUGCAAAUCGAUCGUCGGAUCCGGGUAUAGGGGCGAAAGACUAAUCGAACCAUCUAGUAGCUGGUUCCCUCCGAAGUUUCCCUCAGGAUAGCUGGCGCUCGUUCAGUCUCAUCCGGUCAAGCGAA
rnacentral:rRNA from 1 species